rnacentral:tRNA from 1 species
GCCACGGUGGCGGAACUGGUAGACGCGCUGGUUUCAGAGACCAGUGAAAGCAAUUUCGUGGAGGUUCGAGUCCUCUCCGUGGCACCA